rnacentral:rRNA from 1 species
GAUGAACGCUGGCGGCGUGCCUAACACAUGCAAGUCGAGCGGACGGACGAGAAGUUUGCCUUGCUGACGAUUGGGGCGCGCGUGAGUGUAACAUGUGGACAACCCCCCUAUAAGAGUGGGAUCAGUUGGGGAAAGCGGAACUAAUGCAGGAUAAUCUCUUGAACCGCAUGGUUCACAUGUGAAAGACGGCUUUGCGGUUAGCUGUAGACGGAUUCGCGCUGUAUUGGCUAGUAGGCAGGGUAACGGCCUACCAAGGCAACGAUGAGUAGCCGACCUGAGAGGGUGACCGGCCACACUGGGACUGAGACACGGCCCAGACUCCUACGGGAGGCAGCAGUGGGGAAUUUUGGACAAUGGGCGAAAGCCUGACCGAGCAACGCCGCGUGUGUGAUGAAGGCCUUCGGGUCGUAAAGCACUUUUGUCAGGAAAGAACACAUUGGUUCUAAUCUGGGCGGGGCAUGACGGUACCGGAUGAAUAAGCCCCGGCUAACUACGUG